rnacentral:rRNA from 1 species
UACGGAGGGUGCAAGCAUUGAUCGGAAUUACUGGGCGUAAAGGGCGCGUAGGCGGCAAAAUAAGUCAGAUGUGAAAUUCCACAGCUCAACUGUGGAGCUGCAUUUGAAACUGUUUAGCUAGAGCGUAAUUAGGGAAAACGGAAUUCCACAUGUAGCGGUGAAAUGCGUAGAUAUGUGGAGGAACACCGGUGGUGAAGACGGUUUUCUGGGUUAUCGCUGACGCUGAGGCGCGAAAGCUAGGGGAGCAAACAGG